rfam:Terrisporobacter sp. 08-306576 Contig112, whole genome shotgun sequence.
AUUAAUUAAAAUAUUUUAGGUUCUUGUUUAAGAUUAAUAGGGAAAAAGGUGAGAUACCUUUGCAGCCCCCGCUACUGUAAUGUGGACGAAACUUUUAACCACUGUGGAAAACAUGGGAAGGAAAAGAAGUAGGAUGAAGCAGAGCCAGGAGACCUGCCUAUAAUAUAAAGCCAUU